AGCCUAGAAGCCUAACCUUCACAGGGUGCCCACUGCCUGCCCACCUUGCCCUGAACCUCCCUAGAAAUGGGCUUCCACGCGCAGAGCGGUUAUUCUACCCGGAAAGAUUUCCAGUACAAUAAGCGGCGGUGUUUGCGGUGCUCGCAAAUAGACAGCGAGGUUGCGAAUGGAACGUAAUUCGACCUACGUUUUCAGAAGUACUGGUUACGGUACUGGUUACGGUGAAGGUGGUUGCUAAGGUUGUAUGGGUCCAAGGUGAGAUGACGUUUGUUUUGGCGAGAGGGGAAUUGCAGGGAGUGUCGUUUUAAUAGAGCGGUUUAGGGUGCUUGACAGAGAUAUGGGGCGCUUUAGUUUUUGGCCAAUUUCAGGCCAACCUAGUCCUCAUUUGGAGACAGUCGGCGUGUAGGCGCACCGCUUCUCCCACCGGAGACACACCAUGAUUUCCCCCACCCGGUCCCAGUGCGCCUAUUCCUCCUCACUGUCGCUCUCAAAUUGCUGCCUUUCGUCCCGCCGAAUGUGACAGGUAGGAUGAAGGUACCGCCAUAUGGUGCACAGGGACUUCAUCUGUGCCUUCUCCAGCAGCUGGCUGAGGGGCACACCCUGCUGAAAGGCAUAUUGUAAAGAGCCACGACGAAAACUGUGACUGGUCUCUCCGCCAUCCUGACCAGAGGCACUUAGAUGGCGCUUGAGACGAGACUCCAAAGCCUCGGUUGUGAGGGGUGCCUCCUUGAAACGGUGUCCAUUGGUGUCCAAGGGCCGGAAGAGGUAGUGGGGCAGGGGGAUGUUCAAACAGGCAGAGAGGUACAGAGAGGGGGUACUGAGGCGGCAGGCCGCGGCAUCGAUGGACCUCUCCAAUAGUUGACCAGAUGCACGGACUCCACGGUAGGUUUUCGUGACCAGCUUUGCAAUCUGGAUCCGGCAGGUUGCAGGAAUUCGGCCAUCAGCACCAGGCAGAAGGAGUAGGAAGCCCUGGAAAGGAGUUUGGCUAUGAUCAUGAUCAUGAAGAUCCUACACUUGAAGCUCCCCACAGUCGUGGCCGCACAUGCAGGUGCAGCAGAGCAGAUCCCGG
rnacentral:lncRNA from 1 species